ensembl:ribozyme RNaseP_nuc Nuclear RNase P
GGAGAAAUAUCUCCUUGAGAACUAGCUGAGAUAAAAGUAUUUUUUUAAGUAAGCAUUUAAAUUCAUGAGAAAGCUGACUGAUGGUUGCCAAGAAGAAAAGUCCUUUCCCUUGAAAAAGGUUGACCUAUGAGUCUCUGAACUAAAGAGGUGCUUCCCGAUCAGUAUGCAUUUAUUAACCACUUAUCCAACUGGAUAAAAUCAUGAAGGUCCACCCCUAACCCCAUCCCAAAACCUAGCCACAGUCGGUGAGAGCAAAUCAGGUAAAGCAGUUGUAAUAUGCCCACAGAUUAAGGAACACCCAUCACUGAUGCGAUCCUAUGGAGAAACACUCGCGGCUGGCGAAUGAGUUCAGUGUGUAAGGUAGUACAAGAUACUAGAACCCAAUUCAGACUACUCUCCCUCC